rnacentral:rRNA from 1 species
CGAAGGGGCUAGCGUUGUUCGGAAUUACUGGGCGUAAAGCGCGCGCAGGCGGUUUUCAAGUCAGUGGUGAAAGCCCGGAGCUCAACUCCGGAACUGCCAUUGAAACUGUAAAACUUGAGGAUGAGAGAGGUGAGUGGAAUUCCCAGUGUAGAGGUGAAAUUCGUAGAUAUUGGGAAGAACACCGGUGGCGAAGGCGGCUCACUGGCUCAUAUCUGACGCUCAGGCGCGACAGCGUGGGGAUCAAACAGGAUUAGAUACCCUGGUAGUCCACGCCGUAAACGAUGAAUGCUAGCCGUUGGGCAGCUUGCUGUUCAGUGGCGCAGCUAACGCAUUAAGCAUUCCGCCUGGGGAGUACGGCCGCAAGGUUG